rnacentral:rRNA from 1 species
GACGAACGCUGGCGGCGUGCUUAACACAUGCAAGUCGAACGGAAAGGCCCUGCUUUCGUGGGGUGCCGGAUUGGCGAACGGGUGAGUAACAGGUGAGCAACCUGCCCUUCACUUUGGGAUAACUUCAGGAAGCUGGGGCUAAUACCGUAUCGGAGCCCCUGCUGCAUGGAGGGGGUUGGAAAGUCUCGGCGGUUGGGGAUGGAUGCGCGGCUGACGGGCUAGCUGGUGGGGUAGUGGUUGACCCAGGCAUGGGCCGGUACCCGGCCUGAGAGGGUGGACGGCCACAAUGGGACUGAGAGACGGCGCAGACUCCUACGGGAGGCAGCAGUGGGGAGUAUUGCACAAUGGGCGCGAGCCUGAUGCGGCAACGCCCCGUGCGGGAUGACGGCCUGCGGGUUGUAAACCGCUUUCGCCUGUGACGAAGCGUGUGUGACGGUAAUGGGUAAAGAAGCACCGGCUAACUACGUG